GCGGAUGUGGUGAAACUGGUAGACGCGCCGUCUUGCCAAAGGGCCUCUUCAGAGACCCUUUCCAAGACGGUGGCCCAAAAGCCGUGAGGGUUCGAAUCCCUUCAUCCGCACCA
rnacentral:tRNA from 1 species